ensembl:lncRNA
GUAUGAGUUUUUCCUUUUUCCACUUAAAAUUUUACCUAUCCUUUGAAACUGCCUCAUAUUCUCUGUCAUCCAUAGAAACUUUUCCAAUCCCAUCACCUUCCUCCUUUGAACAUUAUAAUAUAGUUUAUCUCCUUGAUAUCAUUUUCUGUAGUCCCACAGGACAGUUGAGGGGAAUAAUGAAAAUUACACGUGGAAGAUAUCUUUAUAGAGUAUCCGGCACAUGACAGGUGAUAAGUUAUAGUUAGUUCCAUUCAUUUUCCAUCCCAAGAGCACCUGCAGAGCUCUGUAAAUACUGCUCUACAUUUUCCAGUUUUGUAGAUCUGAAAAUGAGGACAGGAGUCUCAGAUGAUUCAUGUUUUUAUGGAUUUUCUUCUUUUCUGUGGCUUAGGAAUCCUUCUGGGACAACUUGCUCUUUGUGCUCUGGGUUCCAGUGCUGGACACACCUUUUCUGUAAAGCCACCAUGGGUUACUGACAGACCAAAAUAUCCUGACAACUCCCGAAUGCCGGAAGGAGAGAAUGGGUUUAUACAUCUGAGGACCUUGACUAUUCUGCUCUUCUGGAACAUUAAGCUCUUCCCCCAUCAAGAGGUGGUGUCUGCGUCUGUUCUCCUUGAAUUUGUGUGGCUCUUCCUGACUGCUUCAACCAAGAGACUCCAGUAGGAAUGAUACUAUAUAAUUUCUGAGGCUAGAUCAUCAGAAUGCCAUGUACUUUAAUUUUAUUCUUUGAGGGUCGCUGGCUCCUGGAACCCAGCCACCAUACUGUGAUGAAGCCUACACAACUGUGGAGAGGCUCACAUGGAGAGGAAUCAGUGCCUACUGAUCUACAGCCCUGGCUGAGCUCUCAGCCAACAGUCACGAUCAACUUCCAGCCAUAUUGAACCAUCUUGAAAGAGGCUCCCCCAGCACCAAGUUAAGCAGUGUGAUUACGUUGCCAAAGAUCACCUCUUUCCUAUCAUCUUUCUUCUGAGACUUGUUUAGAGUAAACUUGGAAGCUGUGUUUUGCUCACUCUGAAGAUUGAAUAUAAGAAAAUUUGCUUAAGUUUGGAUGAUGCAGCUGCUGAAGUAAUCUGUGAUGCACUUUCCUUCAGGAAUCCUUAUCUAUUUGUUCAGGUGUUCCACAAGUCUUCUUAUCUUGGAAUCCAAGAAUACUCAUUGUGUGGUUGCUUAUUGUUUCCCAGACACCCUGAUGCUUUGAGGCUUUGUCUCAUGCUUUCAAGUAAUGUUCUCAUGUUCACCUGCUGAUAUUCCUUCAAGGGUGCAGGCUGUAUCUCUCCAAGUGUGGAAUCAAACAAUCAGAUAAGAUGUUGUGUAACAAUUCAUAUUAAAAACGUGAUCUUGUCAGUCAAGAAGAAGAGAUGAAAACAAACACCUUGAGAGUUCAUGAGUAGAAGUAUAUAGCCCUGCAUUUAUGAUAAUAUGGUGCAGUUUAUCCAUACACAGCAAUGUAACUGCUUAAAAUGCUCCUGAAAUUCAGGCAAAAUAAAUUAUAAAUAUUAUUAAGAUCAAAGAAGGUAAGAGUCCCUUAUGUUUGAUAUAGGCCAAGCCAAAGUUUGAUGUAUAUGCUCAUCUCUUAGCUCUGCAAGUCUAUGAAGAAACCAUCAGAAAGCAUGCUGAAAAUAGAAUGAGAUUCCAUUCAAAACAGAAAGCUCCUGUCUGUUUUAGAGAAGGUGACCAGAUCCUUUAUCAGAAAUUUGGUAUAUUUCAGAGGUACAAAUGUUCUUUUAGGUCUUUUGAAGCACUGGAUUUAAUAUCAGAGUUUAGUCUUGGCUCCAAUCUCCAAUUCUUUGCAUAGUCAUUCUAGCAAUCUUAGGGACCAAGUCUUCCAUUAGCAUAGUGAUCUUCAUGCCUCAAGUGUGAGGUAUAAAUAUUCUCCUCAUUGACAAGGAACCAGAGAUAAUAUUUCAUAGGCAAAAUACUCAGGUAUGCAAAAAUGUAAGUUUUCAGUUAAAGUUUUUUGUACUGAAAUUAUCUUAGCUCAUUAGCUCUCACUUCUGCCUGGUAGCAGGUAAUGUGAUUUUGCUAUUCCAAGUUGACCCAUUAUUUCUAUUUUCAAGUUUAGUUUAUUUUAGAUAAAUUUUUAAAUUCAUAAUGUUUUUUUGACCUUUUAUAUUCUCUUCCAAAAAAGGUUAUUCUAACUUCCUAAUGGGUUUACUUUGAUAGCAGUUGUUGUUAUGUGUAUAUAUGUAUAUAUAUUUUCAAAAAUCAACUUUAUUGGUUUAUAACUCACAAAAAAUAAAAUUCAUUCUUUUAAAGUGUAUAUUUUUUCAAUUUCUACACAAAUAGCCUGCCAGAAUUUUGAUUAGAAUGAUGUUGAAUGUAGAUCAAUUGUGAGAGAAUUGUCAUUAACAGUAUUGAGUCUUCCAAUCCAUGGACAUGAUGUAUCUCUCAAUUUACUUAGACUUUUAAUUUCUUUCAGCAUUGCAUUGAAAUUUUAGGUUUAGCGGUCUUGUACAUAUUUUAUUAAGUUUGUCCUAACAGUUUUAUAUUUUGAGAUGAUAGUAUAAAUGGUAUUGUAUUUUAAAUUUUAGUUUUCAAUUGUUUCUUUCUGAUGUAUAGAUUAAAAUUCAUUUCUGAAUGUUGAACUUGUAUUCUGUGAUCUUUUAAAAAUCUGUUAGUUCUAAUAACUUUUUUUUUUAGUUUCUUUAGGACAUUGUAUGCACAUGAUCAUGUUGUCUGCAAAUAAGGGAAGCUUUAAUUGUUUUGUAAUCUGUAUCACUUUUAUUCGACUUCAGUAACAAUAUUAAAUAGAAGUGGUGAGAACUGAUAUCUUUCCUUAUUCCAGAAAUUAGAGGAUAAGAAUUCAGUCUUUCAUUAUUAAUUAUGGUUUUUUCUGUAUUUCAUAGGUAUAAGUCUUUCAUUCUUGAUUAUGACAUUAUCUGCAGAUAUUUCAUGGGUGGUCUGUAUAACAUUGAGGUGUUUUUAUUCUAUUCCUAGUUAUAUGAAAUUUUUAUCAUAAAAAGGUGUUAAAUUUUGUCAUACAUAUGAAUAUGUGUUUAUACUCCAACAUGAUUAGAUUUUUUAUUCUUUAUUCUUAUUAUAUAGUGAACUAAAGUACAUUUUAAAAUGUUAAGCCAGUCAUGAAACUCUGGAAUCUACUUUUCAUAAUGCACUACCUUUUAUAUCUAGAUGAUUAUAAUUUACUAAGGAUUAAGGAUUUUUGUGUCUUUUUUCAUAAAGAGUAUCAGUCUAAAGUAUGCUUUUGUUAUAAGAUUUUGUCUGGUUUUGGGUAAGCAUAAAACUGGCCUCAUGAAAUGAUUUGGAAAUCUUCCUCCAUACUCUCUUUUUGAAAGAGUUUAGGUAGAAUUGUUAUUUAUUUUAUAAAUAUUUAAUGGAAUUCACCAAUGAAGUCCUCUUUGCUUGGAGUUUUCUUGGUGAGGCAGUUGCUAAUUAAAAUUUGAUAUGGGACUAUUCAAGUUUUCUAUUUCUUCUUGAGUCAAUAUUGGUAACCUGUAUCUUUCAAAGAUUUAUUGAUUUUAGCUAAGUUAUCAAAUUUAUUAGGAUAAAUUUGUUUAUUAUGUUCCCUUAUUUGUUUACUCUAAAAUUUCUGUGGAUUUGUAGUGAUGUC